rnacentral:lncRNA from 1 species
CUUGUUUGAGCAACUUUUUCUUUCAUUUUUUUAAUAAAUUUUUUUUUUAUUUAACUCUUUUGAUUUUGCAUCUCAUGUGCAAUGCACAUGGUUGAUGCUAAUAGCCAAUGAGAUAGAUUCAACUUUAAUUUAGAGUAAUCUUCUUGUUAUAUGAAUUUGCCAUGAAAUCUAGGUUGGGAAACUCAUUGAAUUAGAUCAUUGUUUCUCAAAUAUCUGGGUUGGAUGUGAGUCAAAGCUUCCUUAUACUCACCGCCAAU